UCAAUGGAGGUCUUUUGUCCCGUAAUAAUGCCAAACCUUCAGUGGUAAACGUAUUAUUCACGACCGAAGGGCUGAAGCUGACGAACUUCUGUUCUUAGAACCUACCAGUGAGGGGCGGGCUAAAUUCAGGAAACCUUAACCUCCAACCAACCCGGUUUUCUGGAGCAGAGUUUUGGUCUUGUAUUAUAUUCUUCAGUGGGUUUCUCUUCAGACAGUGCAACCUGACAGAUGUUCAAGCGGAUCCUGC
rnacentral:lncRNA from 1 species